CUAAUACAUGCAAGUUGAGCGAUGAAGAUUGGUGCUUGCACCAAUUUGAAGAGCAGCGAACGGGUGAGUAACGCGUGGGGAAUCUGCCUUUGAGCGGGGGACAACAUUUGGAAACGAAUGCUAAUACCGCAUAACAACUUUAAACAUAAGUUUUAAGUUUGAAAGAUGCAAUUGCAUCACUCAAAGAUGAUCCCGCGUUGUAUUAGCUAGUUGGUGAGGUAAAGGCUCACCAAGGCGAUGAUACAUAGCCGACCUGAGAGGGUGAUCGGCCACAUUGGGACUGAGACACGGCCCAAACUCCUACGGGAGGCAGCAGUAGGGAAUCUUCGGCAAUGGACGAAAGUCUGACCGAGCAACGCCGCGUGAGUGAAGAAGGUUUUCGGAUCGUAAAACUCUGUUGGUAGAGAAGAACGUUGGUGAGAGUGGAAAGCUCAUCAAGUGACGGUAACUACCCAGAAAGGGACGGCUAACUACGUGCCAGCAGCCGCGGUAAUACGUAGGUCCCGAGCGUUGUCCGGAUUUAUUGGGCGUAAAGCGAGCGCAGGUGGUUUAUUAAGUCUGGUGUAAAAGGCAGUGGCUCAACCAUUGUAUGCAUUGGAAACUGGUAGACUUGAGUGCAGGAGAGGAGAGUGGAAUUCCAUGUGUAGCGGUGAAAUGCGUAGAUAUAUGGAGGAACACCGGUGGCGAAAGCGGCUCUCUGGCCUGUAACUGACACUGAGGCUCGAAAGC
rnacentral:rRNA from 1 species